UUAAAAAAAUUUAGCGAUUCAACCUCUAUGCAAUCUCCUCUCUGAUUCAACGUCGACCUAGAAGCUGGAGAAGAAGAAGAAGAAGAAGAAGAAGAGGAGGAGGAGGAGGAAGAGGAGGAGGUUAAGAAUGGAGACACAGUUGAAGAGGUCAAGGUCGAGGUCUCUGUAUAGUAUACUCAAUCUAUUUAGGCACAGUGAUAGUUGGUUAGGUCUCCUCUCUCACAUACAACAAACACAACAAAUCAACUAUUUAAACAGUGCUCCAUCUCCGUCUCCGUCUCCGUCGCCGAUUGGGGCUCUCUCGCUCUAGAUUCAGGUUCGUUCUUUCUCUCUCCGAUCUUUGCUCUCUCUCUCUCUCUCUUGAUCUUUCCCUCAUCGAAGACACUUGCGAAGUCUCGACCUUUGUAUUCUCAAGAUUUGCUCGUUAUCUCUGAUUAGAACAUUCCUAAGAUUCACAAGGUCACAAUCUUAACCACAAAGCAAUGCAGGUUCUCAUCAAACUACAUAAGAUCAUACUCCCUUUAUCUAGACUCUGAAAUUGUAAGUUUCCUUAGGCAGCUUGAAAGGUUUAAUCAAUGGUUGGAUGACUUGGUUGCAGAUGGAAUUGGGACCAAUGAGAGAAUAGAGACCUUAUGGAAGCAGUUAUAUGGAUUUCUAUUGGAGCAUGUUUAGUCCGUCUUUGUUGUUAGUAAUUAUGGCUGUGUUUAUCUUUGAAUUUUGAUACUUUCUGGCAACAUUAUUACAGUACUUAUUAUUUAUUUCUUUUGCAUCUCAGUUUAUAUUUCAUAUUGUAUAUCAUGUCCAUCAGUUAGGAGUUGGGGAUUUUUCAUUGGAAAUUAUGAGUAUGCAACAUUAUUUUGUUAGAGAUGUUAUGUAAUGCAUAUUAUGUGUGAAUAGUGAAUAUGAAUAUGCUUUCUACACAUGUUUAGUGCUUGUAAAACUCAAAUAAAGUGAAACCAUGAAGGGUAAUGGGUGAAAUUAGUUACAGUGAUUUGGUCUUUAAUUCAAAAUUUGAAAGAAAUGAUUUACUGAGUUGAAAUGUAUUGGUUAAUUUGGUGAAGGUUUGAUUCAUCAAGUUUUUAACUACUCAAGGGUCUAUUUGGGGUUGGGUGAAGAAGAUCAAGUGCCGAUGACACCAAAAUCGAUUGUGUUUUGUAGUGGAACUGGUUUUGGUUGAAGGUUCUAGAGGGGGUUUCUUGGUGGUUUUGUCCAUAACAACCAUAUGCAGUCUCUGCAUACAACAAUCCUCACCAUUUCUUAGUAAUAUAUUUGUUGGGUUUGGUGGUUUUGAGGAGUACAUUCAGAUUUAGAUGGAGUUUGUAGGGCAAAGUGAGGGUAUUAUGGUGUUUUUGGUUGGGAAGGAAGUGCAAGAAGCCUUUGAGACAUUUAGUGUUGAGCUAUUGUGGUAAUAGCUUUUGUGGUUACAAAUUUUAGGUGAUAUUAUCAUUUCAGAAAUGAGGUUCUCUUCUGCUGGUUUCACUCAGCAGUCUCCUGAAGGGGAGAAGGGAUGUUUGAAUUCUGAACUUUGGCAUGCAUGUGCUGGUCCUCUUGUUUCCCUACCUGCUGUUGGAAGCCGCGUGGUGUAUUUCCCUCAGGGCCAUAGUGAGCAGGUGGGAUUGGUGGCUGGGCUGAAAUUACCAAUUACACUAGAUGAAUUAUACUAUAUUGUGAUUGAUUUUACAAGGUAUGAUUUAUGGAAAUAUGUUAUUGUAGAUAUUGCUAUAUGAUCUCUGUUCUUAAUUGAUCUGAAAGUCAACAUUUUAAAUGGCUAGAAAUGAGAAUUUGACUUUCAAUGGUAGUUUUAUCAUUAUGUAACACAUUUGACGGCAUUUUAGAAUAUUGCAAUUAAAUUUAGUUUAUUAGUUUACAACAGUAUGAUUAAUUAAGUUGGCCCCCCAGACUUCGCUUGCUCUUUAUUGGAAUUCUUCUGGUUCAUGCCUUUUACACUAGACAUGCAUUUGGGAAAUUCAGAAUUGUGGCAUUAUUUCAUUGUCCAUGGUGUUUUGGGAUCUCCUUCAAUUUUCCACUAUGUAUUCCUUUAUAUUUCCGUUGUGCAGUUUAUAUUGUUGUAAUGGAUUAGGGUGUUUUUGUUUCAAUUUUCAUCAAGGAGAUAAUGUCCCCCCUUAUUUAACAUCAUUUGAGCUAUGGGUUUUCCUUCAGAGCUUCUUCGAGAGGUAUGAAUUUCUUUCUAUAUUUGGAACUCUGUAUUGGCCAAAAGUCUAUGCAAGUUUACUUUGAUAUGUAAUCUUAGUGUUUUCUGUGAAAACUUCAGUAAUUGCUGGAGGUCUGAUGUGAAGCUUCAGGACUCACAUUCAUUAUUUUCCAUCUUUACUUUUUGUCGCAGGUGCAAUAUUUACUUUAAGAAUUAUAUAUUCAGGUUGUCUCGUCGCGAUCACUUUAGCCAAAGUCUUCUUCGAAGAAUGUUUUCACAGUAUCUUCUCUCUUUAGCUCUUGUUUUUUUUUAUUCUUUCUUGCUGAUUUUUGCUUGUAUUUUGAGGUUCCUAUGAUUUUUCGGUGGUUUAGUGUGGAGUGAAUUGAUGUUGAAUUUGAUAUUUUGAAGUUGAAUGAGAGGAGCACAAUAAAAACAUAAUAAAUAUUGCAGAGGCAUAGAGGCUGGAAUUGCAGUGAUAGGACAUGUGGGGCUUACUCCUCAAGCCAUCAGUGUUCUUGGAGGAUUUAGGGCUCAAGGAAAGAAUAUUGGUUGUUGAGUUUGCCUUGGCUUUGCAGGAAGCUGGGUGCUUUUCUGUUGUUCUGAAAUGUGUGCUUAUACCUGUUGCUGCUGCUGCAACAUCUGCUCUUCGAAUCCUUACCAUCGGUAUUGGGGCAGGAACUUUCUGUAGUGGCCAAGUUAAUUGAUUCUUUAGCUUUCUCUAGUAGACUUGACUGGCUUGUGUUGUGUAUAAUCUUUUUGUUUUCAUUUGUACAUAUAAUUUGCUAUUUGAUCUUGUAAUUUUCUUUUAAAGUACUAAAAUGAAUAUUUUAAUGAUAUCAUGUGUUCAUAUAUUGAGUUUA